rnacentral:rRNA from 1 species
UACGGAGGGGACUAGCGUUGUUCGGAAUUACUGGGCGUAAAGCGCACGUAGGCGGAUUGUUAAGUCAGGGGUGAAAUCCCGAGGCUCAACCUCGGAACUGCCUUUGAUACUGGCAAUCUCGAGUCCGGAAGAGGUGAGUGGAAUUCCUAGUGUAGAGGUGAAAUUCGUAGAUAUUAGGAAGAACACCAGUGGCGAAGGCGGCUCACUGGUCCGGUACUGACGCUGAGGUGCGAAAGCGUGGGGGAGCAAACAGG